rnacentral:lncRNA from 1 species
GUUGGUGAGUUCACAAGUUUAUAAAAUCAAGAUUUGGAAUAAGGCUUUUUAUAAAUACAAGUACAUUGCUUUAAUGAGAAACAAGUUUAUUGCUAUUAUUGAUAACAAGUUUAUUGCUAUAACGAGAAACGAGUUUGUAUGUGUAUGAGCAAACAAUGAGUCUCAACCAAACCUAUGACUAAAGCCCUAUCGAGAUCCAUGCUUAUCGUUCCAUAGAUGAAUAUGGUAUCAUGCACUCCAGCAAUAGGGCGAGUGAGGAGUUGUCAAUUCCUAAUAGCGCUAUCCAUAAUGACCAUUGGCUCAAAGAGUUAAUGGUUAGAGAUAAGGGAAGGGCCUUAGUACGAUAAGUUCUCAUGUUCCGUGUUGCAUAAACAUACAUAGAGAGACAUAGCAAUACAAUAGCAAUCAUGUUUGAUACAAAUCAAUUUAAAUACAACAUGCAAAUAAUAGAUUUUUUGGACAUGCUUUUCGACUCCAAAACAUAAAAACUGAAAAUAGGGGAGUGCGUGAAUACUCACAAUGUUUUGUGUAGGUACAAGUAGUGCCUCGGGAUGCACCAACGUCUUACUACCGGGAUCCUACGACAUCAAACACACACUAGUAAGUUUCCAUAUCGAAAUCCAAUGGUAAUAUACUAAACUCUACAUAUAGUGAAAUGCCAAUUUAUGUUUUAGUAUUGGAUUUUAUAUUAAUUGGUUACACUUUUUCAAAUUUUUAAGUCUUUAUAACAACAUAAAUUCACGAAAAAUGGCAUUCAAAGGAUAAAAAUUAUCAAACUUUUUAUUUAACUGUUAUUACACAAUAUUAAGCUGGAAAAAAUAUAAAAAUGGAUUUCCAAGCUGUUUAAUUAUAUUUUAUGAUUUUUGAGCAUUUAUUCAAAUAAAAAUUGAAAUAAAUAGAAAACAUUUGCCAAAAUUACCCAAACUUUUUAUUUAACUGUUAUUGUACAUAAAUAGGCUGGGAAAAAUAUAAAAGAUAUUUUUCAGUGGUUAUUUCUAUUUUUCCUUGUUUUAUUCCUUUAAAUAAUCAUUAAUUGAAUAAUAAAUAAUAAACAGUUAAAAUAAAUUACCCAAAAUUUUUGUAACAUCAUUUACAGUGUAAUUAAUCUGGGAAAAAUACGAAAAGUGGUUUUCAUAUUGUAUAAUCCGGUUUUGGGUAUUUAUGUGUAUUUAGGUGUAUUUAAGUGUAUUUAACUUUAGAAAAUAGGAGAAAAAUAGUUUACUGUAGAGAAAAAUCAUCACAAUUUUUAUGUAACCUCCUACUGUACAACAUGAUGUUCUGCUAAAUUUUCAUGAAUUUUGGAUAAUCAUAACUCUUUUUCCAAUUUUUAGGCCAUUAUAAUUACCAAAAAUUGGGAAAAAUAGUAAGGCAUGAUGAAAAAUUUGGAAAUUAUUUUUCUGAGUCACCCACCACAGGUAAGGGCUGCGAAAAUUGUUAGAAACAAUUUUCACACUCUCUAAUGUGGUUUUGUGAUUUAUUAUACCCAAACAAAAAGAAAAACGGAAAUUAUACCAAACAGCAACAAAAAUCUAAAUAAAUUUAAUGAGGGGUCAUUAUUCACCAUAGGGGUCAUCCAUGAAAUUAUUCAGAUUUAUAGACCUAUGGAAGUAUUUUAUGUGAUUUAUACCUCUGUUUUCUUGCAAUAAUUUUAAUAAAUCAAAGAAAUGAUAAAAACUCUUGGUAUUUUACAGAUUAUCACAUGCAUGUGAGGGCUUUCAAAAGGAAAAUGUUCAAAAUUUAUUCAGAACGGAAAAUAGGGGUAUUGAACCCAAACAAGUUAAGAAAUGUUGCAGAUUAUAGUGCAUGAGAUGUAAAUGUGGCUGAGGUUCAUGAAUUUGAGGAGCACAUUCUAUGUGGUUUUAAGCCACGAAAUUUCAGUCAUCAUUCACUGGAUAUGUUAAGUUUCUAAAUUAUUUUUCCCCAGAUUUAUGGUUGGGUUUAAGGCCACUGAUCACGCAAGGCAAAAAUGGUGAUCACAGAAAAAGAGCUGUUCGCGCAACCAUUUUGUAAAAAUUGCCAAAAAUCCGAUAUUUAAUAUUUUACAGUGAGACCAGUUGGGUUUGAAAGCUAACUCGUGGAACUAUCCAAUACAAAAAUAAUAUCAGGAUUUGGUUAAGUAAUGACCGAGUUAUGGCCGCUCAAAGCUGAACAAUGUAGUCUGGCAGAUUGCAUGUCUUCCCUGUUUGCUUUGAGUGCAUUCUUAGGGCAUUUUGACAAGAACAACAUGCAUGCUUCUGUUAAGGUCCGAUUUCUAGCACAUGCAUGGAGUGAAUGAGCAUCCAAGAUGUACUAGAAAUGGUUUAAAUGCUUUUGGUCAUGCAAGAACACAAAAGAAAUGGAGAAGAAGAUGUAAUACUCGGUUUUGAAGUCACAUGAACACAUGUGCAUCUUUUUCACUCCUUGCAUGGGUUUGAUCCCGGAUUUUCACCAUCUCAAACACAUGCAUUGUGUUAUGGUGAGAAUCUACAAACCACAAGGGAAAAAGUAAGGAUUUCUAGCCAUGGAAGGGCAUAGAAUCCGAAGAGUAGAGAAGAACCAUGAAGAAGAGGAAGUAAAAUCAUGAAACUAUGAGGGAGGAUUGUGUUGUUUACCUUGGUUUUGAUCUUGAGAGAAGCAAGAACACUUCAAGGCCUUCUCAAUUUCGAAAUUAUGGCAGAGAAUGGAGGAUUUUAUUGAGUUAGAGAGAGAGAGAGGAAGAGAGCUUGAGUGUUAGAUGGGUGGAGUGUGAGAGAAAGUGAAGAGAGAAGUGGAAGAGUGAGGGUUUGAGUUUAAUGAUUGAAUUUUUGGGAAGAUGAAAGCAUGGGGGAGAGAGGGUGCCAGAUUUUUGAGGGUAUUAAAGUGCAUAUGAGUCAAAGUUUAUCUGUUCCUUCUAGCAAUAAAAGCGAUAUCUGGGUGUCACACCCCACUAAAGCGGAAACGCAAGAUAUGACAGCGAUAACGGUUUCAUUGCAAAAGAUAAAGAUACAUCACCAUAGCAAUAUUUAAAAGUUUACAACCCAUAGCUUAAACAAAACAAAGUACAAGUUUUUCCAAAAUAACAUUGUUCAAAAUAUAACUUCAAAAAUAACUUCAACACGAUGCAGCAUGCUCUAUGACGAUGAAUCUUUAUAUCGACUUACUAAUUAUUUCCUGAAAAAGCAUGUAAAACGAGCGUCAGCUAUGUAAAUAGUUGGUGAGUUCACAAGUUUAUAAAAUCAAGAUUUGGAAUAAGGCUUUUCAUAAAUACAAGUACAUUGCUUUAAUGAGAAACAAGUUUAUUGCUAUUAUUGAUAACAAGUUUAUUGCUAUAACGCGAAACGAGUUUGUAUGUGUAUGAGCAAACAAUGAGUCUUAACCAAACCUAUGACUGAACCCUAUCAAGAUCUAUGCUUAUCGUUCCAUAGAUGAAUAUGGUAUCAUGCACUCCAACAAUAGGGUGAGUGAGGAGUUGUCAAUUCCAAAUAGCGCUAUCCAUAAUGACCAUUGGCUCAAAGAGUUAAUGGUUAGAGAUAAGGGAAGGGCCUUAGUAGUAUAAGUUCUCAUGUUCCGUGUUGCAUAGACAUACAUANCUUCUGUCACACCCCGCUAAAGCGGAAACGCAAGGUAUGACAGCGAUAACGGUUUCAUUGCAAAAGAUAAAGAUACAUCACCAUAGCAGUAUUUAAAAGUUUACAACCCAUAGCUUCAAAAGAAACAAAAUACAAGUUUUUGCAAAAUAACACUAUUCAAAGAUAACUUCAUAAAUAACUUCAACACGAUGCAGCAUGCUCUAUGAUGAUGAAUCUUUAUAUCCACUUACUAAUUAUUUCCUGAAAAAGCAUGUAAAACGAGCGUCAACUAUGAAAAUAGUUGGCGAGUUCACAAGUUUAUAAAUCGAGCUUGAAAUAAGGCUUUUCGUAAAUACAAGUACAUUUCUUUAAUGAUAAACAAAGUUGAUUGCUAUUAAUGAAUACAAGUUUAUUGUUGUAACGAGAAACGAUUUUGUAUGUAUAUGAGCAAACAAUGAGUCUCAACCAAACCUAUGACUGAAUCCCUAUCGAGAUCUAUGCUUAUCGUUCCAUAGAUGAAUAUGGUAUCAUGCACUCCAGCAAUAGGGCGAGUGAGGAGUUGUCAAUUCCUAAUAGCGCUAUCCAUAAUGACCAUUGGCUCAAAGAGUUAAUGGUUAGAGAUAAGGGAAGGGCCUUAGUACGAUAAGUUCUCAUGUUCCAUGUUGCAUAGACAUACAUAGAGAGACAUAGCAAUACAAUAGCAAGCAUGUUUGAUACAAAUCAAUUUAAAUACAACAUGCAAAUAAUAGAUUUUCUGGACAUGCUUUUCGACGCCAAAACAUAAAAACUAAAAAUAGGGGAGUGCGUGAAUACACACAAUGUUUCGUGUAGGUACAAGUAGUGCCUCGGGAUGCACCAACGUCUUACUACCGGGAUUCUACGACGUCAAACACACACUAGUGAGUUUUCAUAUCGAAAUCUAAUGCUAAUAUACUAAACUCUACAUAUAGUGAAAUGCCAAUUUAUGUUUUAGUAUUGAAUUUUAUAUUAAUUGGUUACACUUUUUCAAAUUUUUAAGUCUUUAUAACAACAUAAAUUCACGAAAAAUGGCAUUCAAAGGAUAAAAAUUAUCAAACUUUUUAUUUAACUGUUAUUACACAAUAAUAAGCUGGAAAAGAUAUAAAAAUGGAUUUCCAAGCUGUUUAAUUAUAUUUUAUGAUUUUUGAGCAUUUAUUCCAAUAAAAAUUGAUAUAAAUAGAAACCAGUUUCCAAAAUUACCCAAACUGUUUAUUUAACUGUUAUUAUACAUAACUAGGCUAGGAAAAUAUAAAAGAUAUUUUUCAGUGGGUAUUUCUAUUUUUCCUUGUUUUCUUCCUUUAAAUAAUCAUUAAUUGAAAAAUAAAUAUUAAACAGUUAAAAUAAAUUACCAAAAAUUUUUGUAACAUCAUUUACAGUGUAAUUAAUCUGGGAAAAAUACGAAAAGUGGUUUUCAUAUUGUAUAAUCCGGUUUUGGGUAUUUAUGUGUAUUUAGGUGUAUUUAAGUGUAUUUAACUUUAGAAAAUAGGAGAAAAAUAGUUUGUAGUAGAGAAAAAUCAUCAAAAUUUUUAUGUAACCUCCUACUGUACAACAUGAUUUUCUGGUAAAUUGUCAUGAAUUUUGGAUAAUCAGAACUGUUUUUCCUAUUUUUAGGCCAUUAUAAUUACCAAAAAUUGGUAUAAAUAGUAAGGCAUGAUGAAAAAUUUGGAAAUUAUUUUUCUGAGUCACCCACUACAGGUAAGGGCUGCGAAAAUUGUUAGAUACAAUUUUCACACUCUCUAAUGUGGUUUUGUGAUUUAUUAUACCCAAACAAAAAGAAAAACGGAAAUUAUACCAAACAGAAACAAAAAUCUAAGAAAUUUAAUGAGGGGUCAUUACUCACCAUAGGGGUCAUACAUGAAUUUAUUCCGGAUUUAUAGACCUCUGGAAGUAUUUUAUGUGAUUUAUGCACUUGUUUUCUUGCAAUAAUUUUAAUAAAUCAAAGAAAUGAUAAAAGCUCUUGGUAUUUUACAGAUUAUCACAUGCAUGUGAGGGCUUUCAAAAGGAAAAAUGUUCAAAAUUUAUUCAGAAGGGAAAAUAGGGGUAUUGAACGCAAACAAGUUAAGAAAUGUUGCAGAUUAUAGUUCAUGAGAUGUAAAUGUGGCUGAGGUUCAUGAAUUUGAGUAGCACAUUCUGUGGGGUUUUAAGCCACGAAAUUUCAGCCAUAAUUCACUGGAUAUGUUAAGUUUCUAAAUUAUUUUUCCCCAGAUUUAUGGUUGGGUUAAAGGCCACUGAUCACACAAGGCAAAAAUGGUGAUCACAGAAAAAGAGCUGUUCGCGCAACCAUUUUGUAAAAAUUGCCAAAAAUACGAUAUUUAAUAUUUUACAGUGAGUCAAGUUGGGUUUGAAAGUUAACUCGUGGAACUAUCCAAUACAAAUAUAAUAUCAGGAUUUGGUUAAGUAAUAACCGAGUUAUGGCCGUUCAAAGCUGAACAAAGUAGUCUGGCAGAUUGCAUGUCUUCCCUGUUUGCUUUGAGUGCAUUCUUAGGGCAUUUUGACAAGAACAACAUGCAUGCUUCUGUUAAGGUCCGAUUUCUAGAACAUGCAUGGAGUAAAUGAGCAUCCAAGAUGUACUAGAAAUGGUUUAAAUGCUUUUGGUCAUGCAAGAACACAAAAGAAAUGGAGAAGAAGGUGUAAUACUCGGUUUUGAAGUCACAUGAAAACAUGUGCAUCUUUUUCACUCCUUGCAUGGGUUUGAUCCCCGAUUUUCACCAUCUCAAACACAUGCAUUGUGUUAUGGUGAGAAUCUACAACCACAAGGGAAAAAGUAAGGAUUUCUAGCCAUAGAAGGGCAUAGAAUCCGAAGAGUAGAGAAGAACCAUGAAGAAGAGGAAGUAAAAUCAUGAAACUAUGAGGGAGGAUUGUGUUGUUUACCUUGGUUUUGAUCUUGAGAGAAGCAAGAACACUUCAAGGCCUUCUCAAUUUCGAAAUUAUGGCAGAGAAUGGAGGAUUUUAUUGAGUUAGAGAGAGAGAGAGAGGAAGAGAUCUUGAGUGUUAGAUGGGUGGAGUGUGAGCGAAAGUGAAGAGAGAAGUGGAAGAGUGAGGGUUUGAGUUUAAUAAUUGAAUUUUUGGGAAGAUGAAAGCAUGGGGGAGAGAGGGUGCCGGAUUUUUGAGGGUAUUAAAGUGCAUAUGAGUCAAAGUUUAUCUGUUCCUUCUAGCAAUAAAAGCGAUAUCUGGGUGUCACACCCCACUAAAGCGGAAACGCAAGAUAUGACAGCGAUAACGGUUUCAUUGCAACAGAUAAAGAUACAUCACCAUAGCAAUAUUUAAAAGUUUACAACCCAUAGCUUAAACAAAACAAAGUACAUGUUUUUCCAAAUUGUUCAAAAUAUAACUUCAUAAAUAACUUCAUAAAUAACUUCAUAAAUAACUUCAACACGAUGCAACAUGCUAUUUGAUGAUGAAUCUUUAUAUCGACUUACUAAUUAUUUCCUGAAAUAGCAUGUAAAAUGAGCGUCAACUAUGUAAAUAGUUGAUGAGUUUACAAGUUUAUAAAAUCAAGAUUCGGAAUAAGGCUUUUUAUAAAUACAAGUACAUUGCUUUAAUGAGAAACAGGUUUAUUGCUAUUAUUGAUAACAAGUUUAUUGCUAUAACGAGAAACGAGUUUGUAUGUGUAUGAGCAAACAAUGAGUCUCAACCAAACCUAUGACUGAAGCCUUAUCAAGAUCUAUGCUUAUCGUUCCAUAGAUGAAUAUGGUAUCAUGCACUCCAGCAAUAGGGCGAGUGAGGAGUUGUCAAUUCCUAAUAGCGAUAUCCAUAAUGACCAUUGGCUCAAAGAGUUAAUGUUUAGAGAUAAGGGAAGGACCUUAGUACGAUAAGUUUUCAUGUUUCGUGUUGCAUAGACAUACAUAGAGAGACAUAGCAAUACAAUAGCAAUCAUGUUUGAUACAAAUCAUUUUAAAUACAACAUGCAAAUAAUAGUUUUUCUGGACAUGCUUUUCCACCCCGAAACAUAAAAACUGAAAGUAGGGAAUGCGUGAAUAGUCACAAUGUUUCGAGUAGGUACAAGUGGUGCCUCGGAAUACACCAACGUCUUACUACCAGGAUCCUACGACAUCAAACACACACUAGUGAGUUUCCAUGUCGAAAUCUAAUGCUAAUAUACUAAACUCUACAUAUAGAGAAAUGCCAAAUUUAUGUUCUAAUAUCGGUUUUAUAUUAAUUGGUUACAAUUUGUCUAAUAUGAUGAAAAUCUAUAAGUCAUGUGAUUAAGACAAUUUUGGAUAUUAAUUUUUCAGAUUUAGUAAUAUAAAUUGAGGGUAUUUCAACACAUUUAAAGGUGUUUUAAAUUCCUAAAAAUUUAAAAUAUUAUCAAACAGUUUCCAAAAAUUGUCAAACCUUGUAUUGUCAUUCUAAAU